rnacentral:rRNA from 1 species
UACGUAGGGGGCUAGCGUUGUCCGGAUUUAUUGGGCGUAAAGAGCGUGUAGGCGUCCAGGUAGGUCUGGUGUGAAAACUCGAGGCUUAACCUCGAGAUGUCAUCGGAAACCAUCUGGCUAGAGUCCGGAAGAGGAGAGUGGAAUUCCUGGUGUAGCGGUGAAAUGCGCAGAUAUCAGGAAGAACACCAAUGGCGAAAGCAGCUCUCUGGGACGGUACUGACGCUGAGACGCGAAAGCGUGGGGAGCGAACAGG